UGGAGAAUCGCUGGAGGGGUGGGGUGAGGCGCCGCUCGUGCUCAGAGCGAACUUUACAGCGCAGCUGAUCUCGCUCGAGCGGGAGCAGUGGGUGCUGAUAGCAGUCUACGCAGAGGCGGCCACAGCGACCAUGAGUGGCGGCAUGUUUAACCUGGACAGCGCGUUGAGCCAGCUGCAGAUCAGCAACCAGACACCGCACCAGUACACGGCCAGCGCUAACCGCAAGGUGGCGCCCGUGGUGCCACCCAAGCCGAAAAAGCCCCAGCCACAGGCGUCGUCGCCGCAGACGGCGGCCGUGUCGUCGGCGCC